rnacentral:rRNA from 1 species
UGUUACCGCGGCGGCAGGCCUAACACAUGCAAGUCGAACGAACCCUUCGGGGUUAGUGGCGGACGGGUGAGUAACACGUGGGAACGCGCCUUUAGGUUCGGAAUAACUCAGGGAAACUUGUGCUAAUACCGAAUGUGCCCUUCGGGGGAAAGAUUUAUCGCCUUUAGAGCGGCCCGCGUCUGAUUAGCUAGUUGGGGAGGUAAUGGCUCACCAAGGCUACGAUCAGUAGCUGGUCUGAGAGGAUGACCAGCCACAUUGGGACUGAGACACGGCCCAAACUCCUACGGGAGGCAGCAGUGGGGAAUCUUGCGCAAUGGGCGAAAGCCUGACGCAGCCAUGCCGCGUGGAUGAUGAAGGUCUUAGGAUUGUAAAAUCCUCUCACCGGUGAAGAUAAUGACUGUAGCCGGAGAAGAAGCCCCGGCUAACUUCGUGCCAGCCGCCGCGGUAACAC